CCAAAAAAGGGAGAUAGUAGGGCAGGAGCAAGGACGUUAGCGGUCAUCACCAGCUUUCAUGCCCACCCACGGUUCUCCUCUUGCCCAUCCAGUGGGAGAUCAGUCACCUCUUAGUUAGCCAGGCUAAGGCCCACUUAGCCACUAAGUGCAGUGAAAGGCUGGGUACUAGGUAUCAUUGGCAAACUGAUGGCUCCAAGGAUGUCCAGGUCCUAGUCCCCAGAGCCUGUGAAUCUGUUACACAGCAAAAGGAUUUGCAGGUGUGAUUAAGGAUCCUGAGAUGGGCAGAUCACCCUGGAUUUUCUGAGUGGGACCGAUGCAAUCACAAGGGUCCUCAUAAGUGGAGAGAGGGACGCAGGAGGGUCAGGGAAGCAGAUGUGAGGACAGAAGCUGAGUUAGAGAUUUGAAGAUGCUCUGCUGCUGGCUUUGAAGACAGAGGAAAUGCAGCCAAGGAAUGCAGGUGGCCUCGAGAAGCUGGAAAAGACAGGAAAUGGACUCCCCUGGCAAUUCAGGCCUCAGGAGGAACCAGCCCUGCUGACACCGUGACUUUAGCCCAGUCUGGCUUCUGAUGUCCAUAACGGUCCAUAAAUGGGUGUUGUUUUAAGCUACUAGGUUUGCGGUAAUCUGUUACAGCAGCAGUAGGGAGGAAAACUCCAGGGCUCACACCCUUGAGGACAACAAUGGUACUGUACUGAGCAUUUUCUCAGCCAGGCAGUGUUCAGAUGCUUCUCUCCACCCACUAUCUGCUUCAUCCUCACAACCACCUCUGGGUAGAUACUAUUGUUCUUUCCACUUUACAGAGGAGCAACGCAGGCUUAGUGAGGCUGAGGAAUCGGCUUGAAGUCACCAAGAGUAGAACCCAGGUCACCUGAGUCCACAGCCUGAGCACAUGACGCCCAUGUCAGACUCUACAAAACCAGGACAGUGGGUGUGAAAUAAAUGGAGCAGAGGCUAUGGUACAUCUACUUCCAGAUUUAAGAUUUACCCCUGAGAUCUGAACAGAUAAAAAGGGAGGGCCAAUUCCUGGGCCAUAAGUACACCAGCUGGGAUUUGUACAGAAACAAUUGGUUGCACGUGGCAUCUGUUAACACUUAUUGAGCACCUACAGGGCCUGGCAUGUUUGGGAGAAACCAAAAAAACAACACUGGGUUAAAAAAGAAACAGAACUUCUCAGUAUGGAGUGCCUUUUUCAUCAAAGGAUUUCUUUAACUCCAACAAGAGCCUCCGACUCGCCUGGGCAGGCAGUUAUCUGGGUCAGUCAGCUCGUUAUUGGCGCUGCAGCAGGACAACCUCCUCCUCGUAUUUUUAGAGCGUGCUGCAGCCGAGCAAGAGGCAGGAGCAUGGCGCCCAGAGUCCCCAGGAGGGAGGGCUCCCCGGGGAGCCCCGGACUGAAAAUAAUGGGACUCCCCAGUCCCCGGAAUGAAAAUAAUGAAAUCACCAGGGCGCAGCGCUGCAGCAGCCUCCAAGUGCAACAAGGCGAGCCCUGGCUGCGGGGCCCUCCCAGCCCCACCCCGGCCCUGCUCAGGAGCCCCUGCUGCUGUAGGCAGGCGGGAGCUCUGACCAUGCUUGGCUGGGGUGGGCCCCAGAUGCCGAUUUCCCCAGGAGCUCCCAGGUGGCCCAGAUGCUGCUGGUCUGUUUGUACCUACAUCCAGGUGCCCAGCCUCUGAUUUUAUAGCCCUGGGGUGAAGCCUGGGCACUGGGAUUAGUUAUCUGUGCCCCAAGUGAUUCUAAUGUGAUCAGCCAGGCUGCCAGGUGAACCCCUGCUGACCUCUCCUGCCUCACUUUACCUGACUCUUUCCCACCCUCAGCAGAGUCUCCAGGCAGGCCUUCCCUUCUCCUCAGGUGCACCUGCUGUGCAGCUGACUGGGGGACUCUGGCCAGCACUUCCCAAGCUGGAAAUGCAAACGUCACCUCUUCCAAGAGGCCCUCCGUGAGCACCUCACAGCUGCCUGCCCUCCAUGGCAGCGCCCCUCUCCCACCACCCACUUCUCUCUUAGGGUGUCUAUCUUCAGGAACUGUCUUGCUUAUAAUGCAACAAAUACCUGUAGCAGAUAAUGUAAGCAUUAUUUGUUUGCCUGUUUGCUGUGGCCAGGGGCCUGGAAUAUGUGUGGGUGCAGGGAGCCGGGGGUCUGUCUUGCUCUCUGCUGUGUCUGGCUUUGAACGAACAGAGAGCAUCUCUGCCAAGUGGUCUCAAGUCGGGGGCAAAGGGAGCGUUUUCAUUUCUCACACUUCUGCAGUGUUGAGCUGGAUGGCGGGGAGCGCGUACUAGGAUGUGACAUGUACUUUUAAGUGCAGGGUGUCCCUUCCCUCCUCAGAUGCUUUCAGUGCCUACCGUCCUGCUCCCCAUCACAUGCCACACCUUCACUGUGUCCUUCGUGGCACCCUUUGGUGCUUAUUUGUGCUGUCUCCUGAGCCAGCAGCUGCCUCCAGCCCUGGUGGCCCACCCACUGCCCUCCAAUGCUCAGGACUUGAGCAGACCCUCUCUUGUGGCAGACCCGCCAUCAGCAUUCACUGCCCCACCCUCACGCUCCCCAUGCGGCUCCUUCACUCUGCCUCUGGCUCUUUCUAUCCUCCCCAGGCAUCAUCCAUGAGGGGCUAACCCUACAGAGCAGGAGCAGUGUGGCUACUGAUCUAACAGGCGCACCUGCAGUGCAGCGGGCCAAGUGGGGUGAAGGGAAGCUGCUUGAACGGAACCUGUGAGCCGCUGGCCAUUGGGUUUCCUCCCUCCAGGUCACCCCGUGUGUCCGCACAGGGAGCGCACUGGGAGCAAGAGGGGGUCCGAACCCUGGCAUGACCUCAGCUGCGAGGACCCUGGCCUUACACUCACCCUGGCUGAUGACUCCCAGAACUCAGAAGUGGCACGACAGCCUUGGCUUGGAUGUCGAUGGCCAGAUGUCCCCAACAUGUUGUGAGGAGCUCCUGAUCCACCCUCCCCACACGCUCUGCUCUGAAGGUCAAGCUCGUCCCCAUCUCGGCAAACUCCAUCCUUCCAGUUACUCUGGCCCAAGCCUCCAAGUCACGGUGACUCUUCUCUCUCAUACCGCACAUCCAAUCCAUCAGCCAACCCUGCUGUAUCCAGACUCAGCCCCCUCCCCUACUCCACCUCGCCAUCCCUGCCCAGGCCCAUCACCUCUCGCCUGGAUUACUGUGACAGCCUCCCAACUGGGCCCCUGCUUCCGCCCUCGACCCCUACAGUCUAGUCUCAACGCAGUGGCCAGAGGGACCUGUAAAAACCCUGGUGAGGUCACAGCACUGCUCCCCUCAGGGGCCUCCCGGAAGCCAGAGGAGUCUGCUCCACCUCUUUAGCCCCCAAACACACACUCCGACCCCUUUCCCCACUCGGCUCUUCCCAUUCCAGCCACACCGGCCCCCUCACUGUGCCUUAAGGAGGCCAGGCCAGGCAGGCUCGAGGCCUUGGCAGUUGCUGCCCGCUCUGCUGGGACCCUUCUCCUCAGACGCCCGCACAGCUCGCUCCCUCACUGCCACCUCCACAUCCUCAGCAGACAGCAUCUCAGGGAGGCCCUCUUGGACCCCCUUUAAAACUGAGGCCCCUUUACAUGCCCUCUCCCUGUGUUUUCCUCCAUCACGUGUUCACCAUCCAACACCCCACACGUUUCUCCCUCCUUCCCAGGGAGGGUCCAUCCAUGUAGUAACAGUUUUAUUGAUAUAUAAAUUACAAACCUUACAGUUCACCUAUUUAAAGUAUACAGUUGAAUGGUUUACGCGUAUUUACAGUUGUGCAACCAUCACCAUAAUCUAAAUUUGGAACAUUUUCAUCACAAUUGCCAGUUACUCCCCAUUCCGCUCUUCCCCCACCCCCUUUGGGGGAAGGCGAACACCAGUCUCCUUUCCGUCUCUGUAGAUCUGCCCAUUCUGGACACUUCAUAUAAAUGGAGUCGAACAAUAUGUGGCCUUUUGUGAUUGGCUUCUGCUACAGACCGAAUGUUUGUGACCUCCCCCAAAUUUCUAUGUUGAAACCUAAUCCCCAACGUGACAGUAUUUGGAAGUGGGAGGUGACUAGGUCAUGAGGGUGGAGCCCUCAUGAAUGGGAUUAGGACCCUUCUAAAAGAGACUCUGGAGAGCUGAGAGAGCCCCCUCGCCCCUCCCACCAUGGGAGCACACAGCGAGAAGACGGCCAGCUAUGCUUGGAAGCGGGCCCUGGCCCGACACCGAAUCUGCCGGUGAUCUUGGACUUCCAGUCUCCAGAACUGUGAGAAAUAAGCAUCUGUUGUUUAAGCCCCCGAUUCUGUGGUCUUUUUGUGAUAGCAACCCGAGCAGACUGAGGCAGUUUUCACUUAGCAUCAUGUUUUCAAGGCUCGUCCACGCUGCAGUAGGUAUUAGAACUUCACUCCUUUUUAUGAAGCAGAAUUUGAUCUACUGAAAUACAGAGUACAAAUUUAAAAUUUCAAAUUUACUUUGCAGGGCAAGCUGGGAGCCACAGCACACUUCACACCCUCCAAGGAAUGUCUGCUCUGUCUGGGAGCUGCCGUCCCUGGUAAGCCCUGGGGCGGCAUCUCAGCCCGGUUUCCUGCAGGACUGGCAGGGCUGGGCUCUGGACCCACCAACCAGAACGCCGAGCCUGCAGUUCAAGUCUGGAGAAGAUAAACCGCGGAUGCUGCAUGUAUGCGAUAGGUAAGGCCAUGAAAGCAGACCAUCCUAUUGUCCCCAAGGAACUAAGGCUCAGUGAAGGGCCACAUUCCGGGCACGGCAAGGAGGGAGCAGAAUGCAACCUUGGACUAAAACUUGCCCAGACUCACCCUUGACUUUUAAUCAGACACAACAGCUACUCAUUUGCCCCUCCUCCCCAAAAAAUCUGUACAAAACUCAGAUGUAUUAGUUAAGAUCUUGCCUUUAUCUCCAAAUUGGAAAAGAAUCUCUUUUGCUCCCAAACUGUAGUUGGGACUGAGAAACAAAAACAAACCAAGAGCCCCAGAAGCUCUGGUCCUGGCAUUAAUCUCAGCUCCAUAAAGGCUGCUCCCGUGUCUGGGAAUUGAGCCUUAAGGCCCUGGGGGUGGUGGGGUGGGGACGAACGUAUUUCGUAUUUCGACACUGCCUUUAGCUUUGACUUCUGGGUGUUAUUUCAGACUUAUGAAAACAAAUACUUAAGAAAAAGGGAGGGGCUAUUGAAAUCCAGAGGCUGAAUUCUGAUAGACAGGAAAGUGUCCCCUUUUUUGAAAGGUGUUAGGGAAACCCCUGUGUCCCCAGGAGAGGGGAUUUUGAGCCAGGCGCUGGGAUUAGCACUUUAAAGGCAUCAUUUCACAAAAACCCUCACAACCCUGUGACAUGGGCACCUCUGUCGUUCCCACUUUGACAGACGGGAGACUGAGAUUCCAGGGGAAGUGACGAGCUGGCUGGCAGCGCCUGGACUGGCUAAUGCACUGGUCACCAGCAGGCCACACAGCCUCCGUAAUCAUCAGCAGACUCCCCUUCAUGUCCUGUAAGAGCUGAACAUUCCUAAAGGAAGCCACCUUUCCAGAACUUCAAGGCUCUGGAGGGGAGAAGGAAAACGCUCACCAGUCUCCCUCUGGUUGGCUGGCACAUGUGCCCUCCCCUUUCCUCCAAGCCUCUGAGGGUCUCUGCCACCCCCCAGCCAGGAUGGCUGCUCAGAGCGCAGGUUCUUCCUGAUAAACAAGGCCCCACCCGCCUUCUGGCUGCUGAGGAAGUGCCGAAGAUGGGAGGGCUGCCAGCUGCCAGCGCUGACAGCACCACUAAUCUACAUGCCACAGUUCCAAGUGCCACCAACAUCUGAAGAGGCUGGUGACGGGAGAGGCCCCCUCAUUUCCCACCCGUGACACUUGGUCCAACCAAACUUAACCACGCCCCAUCUGUCCAUUCACCAGGACUGAGCGUAGCUCUCUCUGUUAAGGGCCCUUUUCUUUACAACCUCUCUUUUGGCAAAAGGCCUUUUGGCCAAAAAAGAAAAAUAAAAAGGCAGCCAGACUUCCAGCUACAGAAAAGUCAGCAUCUACUGCAAGACAACGAGCGGGACAAAAUCUUCAGACACAAAGGCAAUUUCCGGUUAGCCAGCACUGCAGUUAGUUUUUAACUUGCUAGAGUUAGAAUCUUACUUGGACAACUUUAUUUCCUUUAACUUGGUAAAAGGAAAUAUCUUUAAGCAUCGUGAGCUAUGCAUUUUUCUUCCUAACCCUGGAGGGGACUAAAGAAGCUAAAAUAAAGGAGUUUACGGGGGGGUGACUUGCAAGGAACGGAAACUUUUCAGACAUUCCCUUCUUCAUGAAAUACCACCUAAAGCGCCUGUGCACUGCCCAGGAUGCAGAGAAUAUUACACAUCCCCUGGUAUCUGUGCUUGGAUAAAGUGCUUUCAUAUACUUGUGUGCACGCAUGCAUGUGUGUACGUGUGUGUGUAUGAUGCCCCCCUAAAUAUUUAUUAAAGUACAAAAGGCUGAAAUAGAAGGGGCAGGAAGGUUUGAGGAAUGAGCCAAAGAUCUCGUUCACAAGUGCUCACACUGUUUGGAGUGAUGUCUGUCUUCAUUCGAUAAAUAAGAUUAAUGAUAAACACCAGAUUGUGUUUACUUUGUACCAGGCACUAUUGUGAAUAUUUUGAAAACAUUAAUUUAUAUAAUCCUCACAACGACCCUGUGAGAUAGGCACUACUGUCAUCCCCACUUGACAGAAGAGGAUCCUGGAAGCCCAGAGAGGUUGAGCAACUUACAGAGGAUCACACAGGGAUUACCUGUCAGAGCUGGGACCCAAACCCGCUGAGCUAUGUUCCCCACUUAUUCACGAGUGUUUGCUCUGUUUUACACACUGCUCUAAGCAUGAGGACAGCGCAAUGAAGGAAACAGACAAACCCCACCCGCAGGGAGCCUAUGGUCCAGUGCGAGGGGAGGGAGAAUAACAGAAAAGGCAAGUAUCAGGGCUGCUAGAGGCGACAAGUGCAUAAGAAGACACAAAGGAGGGGACGCAGACAGGUAGGACUGCGGGGAGGGACGCUGCCGGUUUACAGGUCACCAGGGAAGGGCUCUCUGGAAAGGCAGCAUGUGAGUGAGAACUGAUGGAGACGAGGAGGACCCAGGGGCUCAGGCAGAGCAAGUCACGUGCCUAAGAUUUCCCUCCCCGAAGUGGUGAGUGUAGGCAGGCUGGGCUGCUCUGCCGGGUGACGUGACAUUGUGUCAGGUUAAGUGGAAAAGGGUUUCUCCUGCGGCUCUACCAUCUCCCUCCCCGUUAGAGCAGAGACUCCCUGCUGAAGGCAGAGAUGGGGGGUCUCUCUCGGGCACUUGAGUAAAUGCCUGGCACAUUUGGAGACCCUAGCUGGGCACUGCACUCCCUCCUCCCAGUGACCAAAAACAGGAUGGCUGUGGGUAGCCAGGAACAGCCAAGCCGGCAGGGGAGGCCUCCCUCCACCUUCUCCCAGGCCCUGCUGGGGAAGUCUUUUCUCAAGGAGAUGAGUUUUUUGGUCUUAACUUCCUGUUUGGUUCUGAUCCCACAUGGAUCCUGCCCAUCUGCCAGAGAGCAGGAGAAACAAGCAGAGCUCGUGGGGCCCUGUGAUUUUAUACACUUAGUGUGAUGAUAAUAACAAAGUUAACAUUAAUGUAGGAUGAACCAGAUGCAAGGUACGCACAUUACCUCGUUUUACACUCACACCCUAAGAAAUGUGAAUUACCAACAUCCCAUUUUACAGAUGAGGAAACCGAGACACAGAGAAGUAAGGGAAUUUGCUCAAGGCCACAGAACUAGCGAGUAGAGACCGGAAUAUGGGGAGUCUGAAACCACAUUCAUCACCAUUGUAUACACAUCUCUCUCUCUCUCAUUCACACACACACACACACAAACUGGCCAGGGGACAAGGCUGAUGAGGCUGAUGGAUAGACAAGCAAGUCAGGAGACCAUCCCAGAAUGCCGAGUGCAGAGCGGAUCCACACCCAUGGGGCUGGGGGCGGGGGGCCCAAUGGAGGCACCCAAGGUAUCACUGGUGGUCAGGGAAGGCCUCCUGGAGGAAGGGGCAGCUGGGCUGAGCCAUGAAGAAUCAUCAGGAGGCAGCUGGGUGUGUGUGCAGGGUGCCAGACCCACGAGGAUCCUCAGACUGGGCUCAGGAUUAGAGACAAGAUCUACAGGCUGCCCGUCAGAUAAGGGAGCAGAAGGCAGGGAUGGAAGAUUCUCCGUCUGUUCGGGAGGCACAUGGUAAGGGCUUGCGUCAAAUCCCCAUGGAAGGUUCAGGAAGUGCUGGCUCCUCUGGCACUGUGCUCAGGCCUGCAUCAGCUCAUGGAAUUGUCCCCCAAACUCUUGUUGGGAAGGAGCUAUUUUUAGCCCUCUGAAAGGUCAGCAAAUAGGCUCAGAGACCUUCAGCACCUGGGGUGAGGUCACACCGCUGGUGAGUGAGGGGCCAGCAUCUGGGCAGGCAAAAGGGCUGCGGGCUGCAGGCUGCCAAGCUUGAGGCACUCGGGCAGGAGGCUGGCUUCUGCGUGUCCCAACUUGUUAGGCCUGCGUCUCCAGACUCCACUACUUACUACUGUUUUUCUUUGAAGAAACCCACUUUAAAAAAAACAACUAUCAUACAUUUUUUUAAAUAAAGGAAAGCCUGUAAUAGCAUUCUGAAUGGGAACCAGUUUUCCCUUACCAUACAUAGAAGGCGCCUGAAAUGAUAAACGCAGAAUGAAACAACACGGUGCGUUUCUGGCCUGAGUCCUGCCUGAAGUCCGCCAGGGAGGCCUGCUCUUUGGUUAGAUAAAAAGGGAGGAGCAGCAGGUGCUGGGAGGUGUUAAAGACAGCGCCCACUGGAGCCUUUCUUCCUGGCAAAGUGAGGAGGCUCAACAUGACUUCAAAAGGGAACAGCUCUGACGGCCAGAUGAAACUGAAACUCAAGGAAAUGGAGAACAACUUAUCCUUGUACACUUCUCGUGCCUGACCCCUCGUAGCAUUUUUUGGUUGAAACUAAAAGGAUCCAAAUUGU